rnacentral:rRNA from 1 species
GGGUCAGUAGGUUGGUCGUGCCACCGGUACGUACUGGUCUCAUUGAUUCCUCCUUCCUGAAGAACCGUAAUGCCAUUUAUUUGGUGUUGCGGGGAAACAGGACUGUUACUUUGAAAAAAUUAGAGUGUUUAAAGCAAGCUAACGCUUGAAUACAUUAGCAUGGAAUAAUGAAAUAGGACGAUCGAUCCUAUUUUGUUGGUUUCUAGGAUUGACGUA